AGAGUUUGAUCAUGGCUCAGGAUGAACGCUAGCGGCAGGCCUAACACAUGCAAGUCGGACGGUAAAAUUUGUAGCAAUACAGAUUGAGAGUGGCAAACGGGUGAGUAACGCGUAUGCAACCUACCCUUAACUGGGGGAUAGCUCGGAGAAAUUCGGAUUAAUACCUCAUGUUACUAUUUUAGGGCAUCUUAAGAUAGUAAAAGUUUUAAUGGUUAAGGAUGGGCAUGCGUGCCAUUAGCUAGUUGGUAAGGUAACGGCUUACCAAGGCAACGAUGGCUAGGGGGUCUGAGAGGAUGGUCCCCCACACUGGUACUGAGACACGGACCAGACUCCUACGGGAGGCAGCAGUGAGGAAUAUUGGUCAAUGGACGCAAGUCUGAACCAGCCAUGCCGCGUGAAGGAAGAAGGCCCUAAGGGUUGUAAACUUCUUUUGUACGGGGGUAAUUUACGGAUCGUGAUCUGUAUUGAAAGUACUGUACGAAUAAGCGUCGGCUAACUACGUGCUAGCAGCCGCGGUAAUACGUAGGACGCAAGCGUUAUCCGGAUUCAUUGGGUUUAAAGGGUGCGUAGGCGGGCCUUUAAGUCAGUGGUGAAAGUUUGCCGCUUAACGGUAAGAUUGCCAUUGAUACUGGAGGCCUUGAGUGCAGAUGAGGUAGGCGGAAUGUGUAGUGUAGUGGUGAAAUACUUAGAUAUUACACAGAACACCGAUUGCGAAGGCAGCUUACUAAAUUGCAACUGACGCUGAGGCACGAAAGCGUGGGGAUCAAACAGGAUUAGAUACCCUGGUAGUCC
rnacentral:rRNA from 1 species